rnacentral:rRNA from 1 species
GACGGAGGAUGCAAGUGUUAUCCGGAAUCACUGGGCGUAAAGCGUCUGUAGGUUGUUUAAAAAGUCUGCAGUUAAAGGUUGAAGCUUAACUUCAAAAAUGCCGUAGAAACUUUUAAACUAGAGGAUGGUAGGGGUAGAGGGAAUUUCCAGUGGAGCGGUGAAAUGUGUAGAUAUUGGAAAGACCACCGAUGGCGAAGGCACUCUACUGGGCCAUGACUGACACUGAGAGACGAAAGCUAGGGGAGCAAAUGGGAUUAGAACCUACCGAGUCAGUCCAAGAC